rnacentral:rRNA from 1 species
AUUGAACGCUGGCGGCAGGCUUAACACAUGCAAGUCGAACGAGUGGAGGACGGGCGAGUAAUGCUUGGGCAUCUAGCUUAUGUAGGGGGAUAACUACGGGAAACUUUAGCUAAUACCGCUUACCAUAGGAUGAGCUCAAGUGGGAUUAGGUAGUUGGUGGGGUAAAGGCUCACCAAGCCGACGAUGCCUAGCUGGUCUGAGAGGGUGACCAGCCACACUGGGACUGAGACACGGCCCAGACUCCUACGGGAGGCAGCAGUAGGGAAGAUUGCGCAAUGGGGGAAACCUGACGGAGCAAGGCCGCGUGAAUGAAGAAGGCCUUCGGGUUGUAAAGUUCUUUCGGUAGCGAGGCGUUAACUACAGAAGAAGCACCGGCUAACUCCGUGCCAGCAGCCGCGGUAAUAC